GAUGAACGCUGGCGGCGUGCUUAAUACAUGCAAGUCGAGCGAACAGACGAGGAGCUUGCUCCUCUGACGUUAGCGGCGGACGGGUGAGUAACACGUGGAUAACCUCCCUAUAAGACUGGGAUAACUUCGGGAAACCGGAGCUAAUACCGGAUAAUAUAUUGAACCGCAUGGUUCAAUAGUGAAAGACGGUUUUGCUGUCACUUAUAGAUGGAUCCGCGCCGCAUUAGCUAGUUGGUAAGGUAACGGCGUACCAAGGCAACGAUGCGUAGCCGACCUGAGAGGGGGGUCGGCGACACUAGAAGGGAGACACGGACCAGACGACUACGAGAGGCAGCAGUAGGGAAUCGUCCGCAAUAGGCGAGAGCAUGACGGAGCAGCGCCGCGUGAGUGGUGACGGUCUUCGGAGCGUAAAAAUCUGUUAUUAGGGGAGAACAAAUGUGUAAGUAACUAUGCACGUCUUGACGGUAACUAAUCAGAAAGCCACGGCUAACUACGUG
rnacentral:rRNA from 1 species